GUUCACAUCAGUAGAGAAUAAGGUUAAAAUAUGAUGCUGUUGCAACUUCUGCUUCUCCUCGGCGCAACCUUGAGCAUUUGCAAAGGCCAAGAGGUUCAUUUUGGCAAAUGUAAGAAUUUCACCACACAAGAGAACUUUGACGUUGAAAGGUAUGCUGGAGGGUGGUAUGACAUAGAGAAGACAUAUUUCGCUGGGCAGAUGGAUAAAUCUUGUACCAAAGCAGUGUACACUACUGAGACCAGACGGUAAAAUAAACGUUAUCAACGAAGACCUAACUUCAGAUCAAAAAGAAGAAAAUACCACAGGGGUAGCUUUCUACAAAGAUGAGAACGUCAAGUCAAAGUUGACAGUUCAACUCGGUU
rnacentral:lncRNA from 1 species